UUUUCUUGUAGUGAGAAAUAGAGAUUAGGAAUACCAAUUUUCAAUGAUUCAACCGGGCAUCGUGGUCUGGUGGUAAAGGAACCUCGGCUGAGGUGCCCGUCAUCACGAGUUCGAGCCCCGACCACAGCGGAUUUAACAUGGUUUCUGUUUGGUUUACAGGACCUUCCUCGCCAGUUCCGGUUGGACGCGGUGGGAUAGUCGGACUAAGUGAGAAGUCCGGAUACCUGGAUUAUCAAAAAAAAAAAAAAAAAUUUCAAUGAUUGUACAAAUAUCACCAUACAACAAAGAUAUAUCACAUAUGUGUUGCCGUCUCUUCCAUGAUGCAGAUGGAUGUUUUAGUAUUUUAUUUUGAUACGAAAUAUAUUUUAUCAAAAUAGAAAUUCUGGAAAAUUCAUUCAUGGACAACAUCAAAC
rnacentral:lncRNA from 1 species